rnacentral:rRNA from 1 species
CUCAGUUCGGAUUGGAGUCUGCAACCCGACUCCAUGAAGCUGGAUUCGCUAGUAAUCGCGCAUCAGCCACGGCGCGGUGAAUACGUUCCCGGGCCUUGUACACACCGCCCGUCAAGCCAUGGGAGCCGGGGGUGCUUGAAGUGCGUCGCCGCAAGGCGCGCCCUAGAGCAAAACCGGUGACUGGGGCUAAGUCGUAACAAGGUAGC